GGUGGCUCAUAAAAUCUCCGAGGCAGAGGCAGGGCAGCUUUCUCAGCCCCCGAGCUCGCAAAGGUGACCCAGGGACAGACAAACUGUGCUGAAGUCAGAAAUCAACUGGCAUAUUCAGUCUGGAGGAAUCUCCCAGGGUACCAGUCGAAUGCAUUAAGAGUGUAUUUCUCCAGCAAGAAGUGAUGGGAAGAGCACAGAGCAAAAAGAAGAAAGAAGCAGGGAAGAAGAUGAAGAAAUAAUCUCUCGAAGGACGCAGUAAUACUACCAUCUAACUAAAAAGAAUUCAGACAUGCACACAAUCCUCAGGAAAAUUCAUCUCCACCCUCCCAACGGACUCUGACUACCACUGAUCCAAGGACCACUGGUGUGGAACCACUGUUUUGUCCGCUGCUGACAAAAGUAUGUUUAAGAGUCUUGGUUUGGCAACAGGAAGGAUACCAUCCUUUGUCCGAUUCCACUGGCUGAGAGAAGUAUGCCCCAAUCAGAUAAUGGCAGUCAAAAGGAAUAAAGCAAGAUCCUUUCCUUGGGUGUGAGCCAGCAUUGUUCUUUCAUGCAUUAUUCAUGAAAUAUGCAAGGUAUUAACAGCAAAAGCUGGGGAGUGGAAGCAAAGCUAAACCUGGGGUGAAACGAAGAUUGCUCUUCAACAAAUUCAGAGAAAAGGAAACAGAAAAAAAGAUUUUGUUUUCUUGCUUAAAUCAGUCUCUUAGUAGGAUUCCAGGAAACUCAGUGCUAUCAUUUUCUUAUCAUUUUCUUUGCUGCUUGAUUUGUUUUCUCUAGCAUUCCUAAGUAUAUAUUGAAUUUACUUAUUUUAGUCAGACUAAACUAUAACAGAGAGAUAGGCAGGCUGACAGAGCACUCCAGGAGAAGUUUAUCACAGGGUAUGGAAGAAAGAGAUCCUGCUGAGUUCUGAUAUCCCUGGAAAAAAAACAUGGCCCAAUUUUUUAUAGGUAUAUGCAGUCUCCUGAGUGAGAAAAUGGAGCAAAAAGUCAUAGAUACAGUCACCAAAUUGGAUAGAAGAUUAUAGUGAAAUUUGACAUGGUCUCACAGAGAACACCAUGGUUUUUUUUGUUUGUUUUUGCACUGCCUAACAUGUCUGGCAUCCAUCUCUGAAAUGAGACGCAAAUGUUGAAUGAAUGAGAACAAGUGAGGAAGGAUAACAGAAGAAACGAAGGAGGAUAUCCCUGAC